AUAUUGAAAAACACCAGAUGAUCUGCUUGGAAGGGACAUAAACAGGCCAAGCGGAUGCAAGUUAAUAAAACCCGAAAAAGCCCAGGCAGGAACACUUAAAAUGCCCCAGAAACAAAGCACACCGUGACAAAUUCUCACCCAACACACAAGUACACGCGCCGGAAUGAUCCCAGACAC
ensembl:misc_RNA